GAUCAAAGAUCAGAGGGACCAGAGAUGUCAGUAGGUGCCAGCUAAGAGCUGUGGACAGACAUUCCUUUGUCACCAGUCCCUUGACAUCUUCUGGCCUUUAGAUGCUACUCUGAGAGGGAAUGGUGAUAAGGGUGAGGUGGGGCUAAGCCAUUAAUCCUCGGAGUGUAAGUCUGAAAUGGUGGAGAAAACAGUGAAUUGAUCGAAUCUAUCUGCAAUUAACCAGAUUAAAUUGUUGCAUCAGACAUAUUCUGGGGGUUUGAUGUCCAAGAUCAGUGUUCCAGGAUGAUCAGGAAUCUAAAAGAAGAAACUGAGGUGAGCAAAGGAAAUGGAAUGACACCAGCCAUCCUCUCCAGCACUGGUGGUGGGUUCUCAUGGAGAGAACAUGAAAGAACAGUUUGCACAACCAACCUUGUGAGACUCUGAGCAUAAGAAGUGAGAGGCAGAUCCCAGGAGAGGGAAUCUGCUCACUCAGCAGAGACAGAAGCCUCAUCAGCAGCCCUAAACACAGGCAGCUUUGGAAGCCUUUCCCUGGAUCUAACAGUUUUCCAAGUUUGGUUUCCACACCUGGCUCUCUGUAUACUUCCCCCUCAAUGUGCCAUUCACUCACAUGGCUUCCAUUAUCACCUAGUCUGCUAUUGACUCCCAAGUUAAUCUUGCUUAGGCCUCCCUGUGCUCCUCACUCAAAAUGCCAACUCCCUAAUUGAAAUCUAUGCUGUUUCCUGGGCACUUCACAACACACUUCUCGUCUUCCAUUCUCCAUCUCUGUCUGUAAUGCCCUCUCCACAGCCCAAUCAGACCCAGAGCCAUCUCAAGUUCCUUUAUACCCCUUUCCACAUCUAAGCUUUGGGCAUGUCUGUCCAAUCUACCUCAAGACUGAAUUCCUGCACCUCCUACUCUCCAUUAGUGAUCCAGACCACCAUCAUCUCUUGCCCAAAGAACAAAAACAGUAUCUAGAUGAUCCCUGCUUUGCGUUGUUUAAUUCAUGAUCCACACAAGUGCCAGAGAUGUUUCUAAAAUGAAAACUUUUGUCAUGCCACUCACUCCCUGGUUAAAAUGUCUUCAGUUACAUCCAAUUACCCUUUAGAUAAAACACAACUUUAAAAUGGUUGGAAGGCUGUUGGUUAUUACUCUGUCUUUUGCCUGCUGUACUUUGCCUCCACCUCUGUACUCUUUCUUCUAGUGUCCAAAUUCUUUUAAUCAUGAACCCUUGUCAAUAAAAUACUGUUCUGUAUGUUUUUGCCAGUCGUACAUUUUGAGCAUGUAUUUGCUAUGUACAAAUCUUAUUAUGAAUCCUAUUUUACAUCAGUAAAGCAUAGCUCUUUAGAUGUAAUAGAAAACUCAGCAGAUGUGCUAGUACUUCUGUCCUCCUGGGUGGAGGGUGUCCUCUCUGUGGAGACUUCUCCUGUGUCAAUGUGGGGUUGCCUUCAGACCUCU